rnacentral:rRNA from 1 species
AGAAUCAACGCUGGCGGCGCGCUUAACACAUGCAAGUCGAACGAGAAAGUGGAGCAAUCCAUGAGUAAAGUGGCGUACGGGUGAGUAACACGUGGAUUAUCUGCCCUUGAGUGGGGAAUAACAAUGGGAAACCGUUGCUAAUACCGCAUAUUCCCGAGAGGGGAAAGCAGCAAUGCGCUCAAGGAGGAGUCCGCGGCCGAUUAGCUAGUUGGUAGGGUAAUGGCCUACCAAGGCUUCGAUCGGUAGCCGGCCUGAGAUGGCACACGGCCACACUGGCACUGAAACACGGGCCAGACUCCUACGGGAGGCAGCAGUGGGGAAUCUUGCACAAUGGGGGCAACCCUGAUGCAGCGACGCCGCGUGAGCGAUGAAGCCCUUCGGGGUGUAAAGCUCUUUCGGUAGGGAAGAUAAGUGACGGUACCUACAGAAGCAGCUGCGGCUAACUACGUGCCAGCAGCCGC